UGAGAACUGAAUUCCAUGGGUUA
rnacentral:ncRNA from 4 species